rnacentral:rRNA from 1 species
ACGCUCGACACCUACGGAGGCAGCAGUGGGGAAUAUUGCACAAUGGGGGGAACCCUGAUGCAGCGACGCCGCGUGAGUGAAGAAGUACUUCGGUAUGUAAAGCUCUAUCAGCAGGGAAGAAAAUGACGGUACCUGACUAAGAAGCCCCGGCUAACUACGUGUCAGCAGCCGCGGUAAUCUGAGCGGGCUGGCAAGGC